rnacentral:rRNA from 1 species
AUUGAACGCUGGCGGCAUGCCUUACACAUGCAAGUCGAACGGCAGCACGGGUGCUUGCACCUGGUGGCGAGUGGCGAACGGGUGAGUAAUACAUCGGAACAUGUCCUGUAGUGGGGGAUAGCCCGGCGAAAGCCGGAUUAAUACCGCAUACGAUCUACGGAUGAAAGCGGGGGACCUUCGGGCCUCGCGCUAUAGGGUAGGCCGAUGGCUGAUUAGCUAGUUGGUGGGGUAAAGGCCUACCAAGGCGACGAUCAGUAGCUGGUCUGAGAGGACGACCAGCCACACUGGGACUGAGACACGGCCCAGACUCCUACGGGAGGCAGCAGUGGGGAAUUUUGGACAAUGGGCGAAAGCCUGAUCCAGCAAUGCCGCGUGUGUGAAGAAGGCCUUCGGGUUGUAAAGCACUUUUGUCCGGAAAGAAAUCCUUGGCCCUAAUACGGUCGGGGGAUGACGGUACCGGAAGAAUAAGCACCGGCUAACUACGUG